AGGGUGCAGUGUGAUGAGCAGGUGUGUCCUCUGUUAGGGCCACUCUUGAGGGUGCAGUGUGAUGAGCAGGUGUGACCUCUGUUAGGCUCACUCUUGAGGGUGCAGUGUGAUGAGCAGGUGUGUCCUCUGUUAGGGCCACUCUUGAGGGUGCAGUGUGAUGAGCAGGUGUGUCCUCUGUUAGGGCCACUCUUGAGGGUGCAGUGUGAUGAGCAGGUGUGUCCUCUGUUAGGGCCACUCUUGAGGGUGCAGUGUGAUGAGCAGGUGUGUCCUCUGUUAGGGCCACUCUUGAGGGUGCAGUGUGAUGAGCAGGUGUGACCUCUGUUAGGCUCACUCUUGAGGGUGCAGUGUGAUGAGCAGGUGUGUCCUCUGUUAGGCUCACUCUUGAGGGUGCAGUGUGAUGAGCAGGUGUGACCUCUGUUAGGGUCACUCUUGAGGGUGCAGUGUGAUGAGCAGGUGUGUCCUCUGUUAGGGCCACUCUUGAGGGUGCAGUGUGAUGAGCAGGUGUGUCCUCUGUUAGGCUCACUCUUGAGGUGCAGUGUGAUGAGCAGGUGUGACCUCUGUUAGGGUCACUCUUGGGUGCAGUGUGAUGAGCAGGUGUGUCCUCUGUUAGGCUCACUCUUGAGGGUGCAGUGUGAUGAGCAGUGUGAC